ACGAACGCUGGCGGCGUGCUUAACCCAUGCCAGUCGAACGGUGAAGCGCCUUCCUUUUUGGUGGGUGUGGAUGAGUGGCGAACGGGUGAGUAACACGUGAGUAACCUGCCCCCUUCUUCUGGAUAACCGCAUGAAAGUGUGGCUAAUACGGGAUAUUCUGGGUCUGUCGCAUGAUGGGUCUGGGAAGGAUAUUGUUUCGGUGGGGGAUGGGCUCGCGGCCUAUCAGCUUGUUGGUGGGGUGAUGGCCUACCAAGGCGGUGACGGGUAGCCGGCCUGAGAGGGUGGACGGUCACACUGGGACUGAGACACGGCCCAGACUCCUACGGGAGGCAGCAGUGGGGAAUAUUGCACAAUGGGCGCAAGCCUGAUGCAGCGACGCCGCGUGAGGGAUGGAGGCCUGCGGGUUGUGAACCUCUUUCGCCAGUGAAGCAGGCCUGCCUCGUUUGUGGGUGGGUUGACGGUAGCUGGAGAAGAAGCGCCGGCUAACUACGUG
rnacentral:rRNA from 1 species